rnacentral:rRNA from 1 species
GUCCUGGCCUUAAACGAUGGAUGCUUGGUGUCUGGGGUUUUAUAGUCCCCGGGUGCCGCAGCUAACGCGUUAAGCAUCCCGCCUGGGGAGUACGGUCGCAAGACUGAAACUCAAAGGAAUUGACGGGGACCCGCACAAGCGGUGGAGCAUGUGGUUCAAUUCGACGCAACGCGAAGAACCUUACCAGGGCUAGAAUGCCUCUGACAACUCCAGAGAUGGAGCCUCUUAGGGAAACCUAGGCAGAGUGCAAGGUGCUGCAUGGCUGUCGU